UACGUAGGGGGCUAGCGUUGUCCGGAAUCAUUGGGCGUAAAGAGCGUGUAGGCGGCCCGGUAAGUCCGCUGUAAAAGUCAAAGGCUCAACCUUUUGAAUGUCAGUGGAUACUGCCGGGCUAGAGUCCGGAAGAGGCGAGUGGAACUCCUGGUGUAGCGGUGGAAUGCGCAGAUAUCAGGAAGAACACCAACGGCGAAGGCAGCUCGCUAGGACGGUACUGACGCUGAGACGCGAAAGCGUGGGGAGCGAACAGG
rnacentral:rRNA from 1 species